UACGUAGGUGGCAAGCGUUGUCCGGAAUCACUGGGCGUAAAGCGCGCGCAGGCGGCGAUCUACGUCUGGGGUGAAAGCCCGGAGCUCAACUCCGGGACUGCCUUGGAUACGGGAUCGCUUGAGAAUUGGAGAGGCAAGGGGAAUCCCACGUGUAGCGGUGAAAUGCGUAGAUAUGUGGAGGAACACCGGUGGCGAAGGCGGCAUCCUGGACCGGCAUUGACGCUGAGGAGCGAAAGCCAGGGGAGCAAACGGG
rnacentral:rRNA from 1 species